UGAGGAAUAUUGGACAAUGGGGGAAACCCUGAUCCAGCCUAUCGAGUGAGUGAUGAAGGCCUUCGGGUUGUAAAUCUCUUUUAUCUGUGAAGAUAAUGACGGUAACAGAUGAAUAAGCACCGGCUAACUUCGUGCCAGCAGCCGCGGUAAUACGAAGGGUGCAAGCGUUGUUCGGAUUAACUGGGCGUAAAGGGUGUGUAGGUUGCCUACUAAGUAAGAUGUUAAAGCCAUGGGUCUAACCUGUGUACGCAUCUUAUACUGGUAGGGUAGAGUCUGUCAGAGGAAAGCGGAAUUCCUAGUGGAGAGGUAGAAUUUGUAGAUAUUAGGAGGAACGCCAGAGGCGAAAGCGGCUUUCUGGGGCAUGACUGACACUAAAACACGAAAGCGUGGGGAGCAAACAGG
rnacentral:rRNA from 1 species